GACGAACGCUGGCGGCGUGCUUAACACAUGCAAGUCGAACGGAAAGGCCCUGCUUGCAGGGUACUCGAGUGGCGAACGGGUGAGUAACACGUGGGUGAUCUGCCCUGCACUUCGGGAUAAGCUUGGGAAACUGGGUCUAAUACCGGAUAGGAGCCAUCUUUAGUGUGGUGGUUGGAAAGUUUUUUCGGUGUAGGAUGAGCUCGCGGCCUAUCAGCUUGUGGGUGGGGUAAUGGCCUACCAAGGCGGCGAGGGGUAGCCGGCCUGAGAGGGGGUACGGCCACAUUGGAAAGGGAAGCCGGCCCGCACUCCCGGGGGGGGAGCCAGGGGGGAAUGUGGCACAGUGGGCGAACGCCGGAGGCAGCAACGCGGGGGGGGGGAUGAAGGCCUGGGGUUUGUAAACUCCUUCCGCGAGGGACGAAGUUUUGUGGUGAGGGUACAUAAAAAGAAAGCCCCGGCUAACUACGUC
rnacentral:rRNA from 1 species